rnacentral:rRNA from 1 species
GAUGAACGCUGGCGGCGUGCUUAACACAUGCAAGUCGAACGAAGCACUUUAUUUGAUUUCCUUCGGGACUGAUUAUUUUGUGACUGAGUGGCGGACGGGUGAGUAACGCGUGGGUAACCUGCCUUGUACAGGGGGAUAACAGUUGGAAACGGCUGCUAAUACCGCAUAAGCGCACAGCAUCGCAUGAUGCAGUGUGAAAAACUCCGGUGGUAUAAGAUGGACCCGCGUUGGAUUAGCUAGUUGGUGAGGUAACGGCCCACCAAGGCGACGAUCCAUAGCCGACCUGAGAGUGUGACCGGCCACAGUGGGACUGAGACACGGCCCAAACUCCUACGGGAGGCAGCAGUGGGGAAUAUUGCACAAUGGGCGAAAGCCUGAUGCAGCGACGCCGCGUGAGCGAAGAAGUAUUUCGGUAUGUAAAGCUCUAUCAGCAGGGAAGAUAAUGACGGUACCUGACUAAGAAGCACCGGCUAAAUACGUG